GAACUCAGCAAAAUGACCCCGUAACUUCGGAAGAAAGGGUGCUCUCCUAUCUUUUUCUUAGGAAAAAGGCGCAUACCAAGGGGUAGCAACUAUUUAUUAAAAACACAGGACUCUGCUAAGUGGUAACACGAUGUAUAGAGUCUAACACCUGCCCUGUGCUGGAAGAUCAAAAGGAGAAGUGUGAUAAGCUUUGAAUGGAAGGCCCGAUAAACAACGGCAGUAAAUCUAACUGUCCUAAGGUAGCAAAAUUUCUUGUCGCAUAAGUAGCGACCUA
rfam:Cucumis melo, WGS project CAJI01000000 data, contig: 46980